AGGGUUCGAGUUCUGGCUCAGGAUGAACGCUGGCGGCGUGCUUAACACAUGCAAGUCGAACGAAGCACUGAAGAAUGGAGAUCGUCAAAGUUCUCUUGACUGAGUGGCGAACGGGUGAGUAAUGCGUGAGCAACCUGCCCUUCAGAGGGGGACAACAGUUGGAAACGACUGCUAAUACCGCAUGACGUGUUCGGGAGGCAUCUCUUGGAUACCAAAGGAGAAAUCCGCUGAAGGAUGGGCUCACGUCUGAUUAGCUAGUUGGUGGGGCAACGGCCCACCAAGGCGACGAUUAGUAGCCGGACUGAGAGGUUGAACGGCCACAUUGGGACUGAGAUACGGCCCAGACUCCUACGGGAGGCAGCAGUGGGGAAUAUUGGGCAAAUGGGCGAAAGCCUGACCCAGCAACGCCGCGUGAAGGAAGAAGGCCUUCGGGUUGUAAACUUCCUUUUAACAGGGACGAAGAAGUGACGGUACCUGUUGAAUAAGCCACGGCUAACUACGUGCCAGCCGCGGC
rnacentral:rRNA from 1 species